UGGGGAAUAUUGCACAAUGGGCGCAAGCCUGAUGCAGCCAUGCCGCGUGUAUGAAGAAGGCCUUCGGGUUGUAAAGUACUUUCAGCGGGGAGGAAGGUGUUGAGGUUAAUAACCUCAGCAAUUGACGUUACCCGCAGAAGAAGCACCGGCUAACUCCGUGCCAGCAGCCGCGGUAAUACGGAGGGUGCAAGCGUUAAUCGGAAUUACUGGGCGUAAAGCGCACGCAGGCGGUCUGUCAAGUCGGAUGUGAAAUCCCCGGGCUCAACCUGGGGACUGCAUUCGAAACUGGCAGGCUAGAGUCUUGUAGAGGGGGGUAGAAUUCCAGGUGUAGCGGUGAAAUGCGUAGAGAUCUGGAGGAAUACCGGUGGCGAAGGCGGCCCCCUGGACAAAGACUGACGCUCAGGUGCGAAAGCGUGGGGAGCAAACA
rnacentral:rRNA from 1 species